GUUGUGAUCUCUGUAUAUUUUCGAAAAUAAUGUAUUUGAUAGCUGAAAAUUGAAAAUAUUGAAUGAAAUUCGUUCACAAGUUAUCAUCUACAAUUUUCUGAAAACUUCGUAUAUCUGUAUAUGAAACAUGAUACCUCUUGUGAAAUGAAAUCAUUAUGUACAUAUUGUUAAUUUAUCCUAUUUCCCGCCAAUCUUUCCUUCCCGUCAUGCAAUGGUGUAAAUAAAGCGUCUGAAGAAAAGUUGUCAUCCACUCAAUCAUUUGAAUUUGAUCUUUAAUGCUAGAAUUCUUUGGAGUGUAUGUUCAGAACAAAACAUGGACCAACGAGAGUACAGAAGUUACGUUGGCAUUCUGCACUUCAAUCCUGGGAAAAACAUCAUGAAUGGGGUUGACCUCUACAAGAAUGGACGAUUCGUAAACCAAAUUAAACAAAAGAUAGACAAAGAAAUGUCCAGUGAGAUCUCAAGAGUUCGCACAAUGAGCAUAGGAUCUGGCGAGCCUGCCCCACCCCCAACUGGAUCCUCCUCUGUUAUUUCACAAUCCUCAUCCACCACAAGUUUGCCGUAUUAGUUCAGUGUGUUUUCCCGUUCUCAGUAGCUCUGUGUGUUUGACAUUUGAAUUUCUAUAUUUAUUUGUUAAGUUUCAAAUGGACCUCAUUUAUAUAGAGCAAUGUAUUUUAACAAUAAAAUGAUUUUCAGUUUCA